ACUGCGUAAUCUAGAACUGAUGUGUAAUGUUCUCUGUGUAAUCUAGAACUGACAUGUAAUGUUCUCUGUGUAAUCUAGAACUGACAUAAUGUUAUCUGGGUAUUCUAGAACUGACAUGAAUGGACCAUGUGUACUCUAGAACUGACAUAAUGUUAUCUGUGUAUUCUAGAACUGACAUGAAUGGACUGCGUAAUCUAGAACUGGUGUGUAAUGUUCUCUGUGUAAUCUAGAACUGAUAUGUAAUGUUCUCUGCCUAAUCUAGAACUGAUUGUAUUGUCCUCGGUGUAAUCUAGAACUGAUGUGAAUGGACUGUGUGUUAUCUAGAACUGACAUGUAGUGGACUAUGUGUAAUCUAGAACUGACAUGUAAUGGACUAUGUGUAAUCUAGAACUAACUGUAAUGGACUCUGUGUAAUCUAGAACAGAUGUACAAUGAACUUGGUGACAUCCAGAACUGUAGGAACAUAAUACGGAAGUUCAGGGCAGAGAAAUUCCACGGCACGUGGACUAUUCCGCAGUGUGAACGUAGCCUUAGGCUGGGAAUACACCUUGCAAAGAAAUGCUGCAGAUUUUCUGCACUUGAAGGUAUAUGGCCACUUUGUCAACAGGCUCGUAGAAGUUGUUCCUCUAUGGAUCGGGCAUUGAUGGUGUAUCGUAGAGACAAUGACGUGAACAGGAUGACCCACGAGGCAGCAUACACAGCAUAAUCCUACAAACCAAUGAGAACGUACUGGCUGAAUUUGGAUGUUAUACAAUCACUUAGAGGUUGUUCCUAGCAGACAACGCUGCUUUGUGAAGCUCAAUGCAAAACUACUGACUCGGAUUUAAAAGGAGGAAAAAAAAGGAAAACGUAAGACGCGGCGAUAAUUCAGCUCCAUCACAUUCAUUUACAUCUCGUAACUUGUGAUAAUUAGAUGUCUCUGUCACAUUUCUGUGAAUUUAUGUAUUUCUCUGUUAGGCCAUGUUCACACGGUAGGAAAAUGUGCGCAAUGUCCGCCCGGAAAACACGUGCGUACAUUCUGCACAUUUGCCCGAUCCGGCGGGCACCAGGACCAAUCGGAAAUGCCCCCGGCAAUUUAUUUCCAAGCGAAAUCCGUAGAAAGAAUAGACGCCGGUAUCGGGAGAUUCCACAGUGUGAAGAGUGCAGCAGAAUCCCAUUAAAAUCAAUGGGAUUCUGCAGCAGCGGAAUGUCCAUGUGGAAAAUUCCGGCAGAAUUCCGCACGAAUAUUCCGCCGUGUGAACAUACCCAAAGUGUCCUUGUUCUUGGAGUGUGUCAGCCGUUCCUGCAAGAGGAAGACAUUGAUGCUAUGGACUGGCCGCCCGUUCCCCUGAAUCCAAUUGAGCACAUCUGGGACGUCUCGCUCCAUCCACUACAGACUGUCCAGGAGUUGGCGGAUGCUUUAGUCCAGGUCUGGGAGGACAUCCCUCAGGAGACUAUCCUCCACCUCAUCAGGAGCAUGCCCAGGUGUUGUAGGGAGGUCAUACGGGCACGUGGAGGCCACACACACUACUGAGCCUCAUUGUGACUUGU